rnacentral:pre_miRNA from 1 species
AUCAUACUCCCUCCAUCCGAAAAUACUUGUUCUAGAAAUGGAUGUAUCUAUACUUAUUUUAGUUAUAGAUACAUCAAUCUUAUUCAUUUAUCGAACAAGUAUUUCCGGACGAAGCGAGUAAAUA